GGGCCCUGUGUGGGUGCGGGCAUGUGAGUGUAUGUGUGUGAGUAUGUGUCGCUCAGGUUCACGCUCAUGCACACACCCACUC
rnacentral:miRNA from 1 species